ACAGCUAUAUCACUUUGAAAUACUGAUUCUUGUAUGACCAGCAAAGUUAAGCAACAUUGAGCCUGGUCAGUACCUAGAUGGUUGACUGCUUGGGAAUACCAGGUGUUGUAAG